rnacentral:rRNA from 1 species
ACUCCUACGGGAGGCAGCAGUGGGGAAUAUUGCACAAUGGGGGAAACCCUGAUGCAGCCAUGCCGCGUGUGUGAAGAAGGCCUUCGGGUUGUAAAGCACUUUCAGUUGUGAGGAAAGGUUGGUAGUUAAUACCUGCCAGCUGUGACGUUAACAACAGAAGAAGCACCGGCUAACUCCGUGCCAGCAGCCGCGGUAAUACGGAGGGUGCGAGCGUUAAUCGGAAUUACUGGGCGUAAAGCGCACGCAGGCGGCUUGUUAAGCUAGAGGUGAAAGCCCCGCGCUCAACGUGGGAACUGCCUUUAGAACUGGCAGGCUAGAGUCUUGGAGAGGGGAGUGGAAUUUCCCAGGUGUAGCGGUGAAAUGCGUAGAUAUCUGGAGGAACAUCAGUGGCGAAGGCGGCUCCCUGGCCAAAGACUGACGCUCAUGUGCGAAAGUGUGGGUAGCGAACAGGAUUAGAUACCCUGGUAGGAUAGCGU